rnacentral:rRNA from 1 species
AGCUCCAAUAGCGUAUAUUAAAGUUGUUGCAGUUAAAAAGCUCGUAGUUGCGUUUCUGUUGGGAGGGAUCGUUCCAUGCCUUUGGCUUGGAUUCGUAUCGUCUCCUGACAUCCUUGGGUGGAGCCAUUCUGGCAUUAAGUUGUCGGGGUGGGGAUGCCCAUCAUUUACUGUGAAAAAAUUAGAGUGUUCAAAGCAGGCUUAUGCCGUUGAAUAUAUUAGCAUGGGAUAACAAUACAGGACUUUGGUACUAUUUUGUUGGUUUGCGCACCAGAGUAAUGACGAACAGGGACAGUUGGGGGUAUUCGUAUUCAGUUGUCAGAGGUGAAAUUCUUAGAUUUAUUGAAGACGAACUACUGCGAAAGCAUUUACCAAGGAUGUUUUCAUUA